UUUUUUAGGGAGAUUUUGGCCUUCCCAGAAGGGGAGGCCUGGGAAUUUCCUU
rfam:HIV-1 isolate 00BW3970.2 from Botswana, complete genome.